AUUGAACGCUGGCGGCAUGCCUUACACAUGCAAGUCGAACGGUAACGCGGGGCUACCUGGCGACGAGUGGCGAACGGGUGAGUAAUGUAUCGGAACGUGCCCAGUUGUGGGGGAUAACUGCUCGAAAGAGCAGCUAAUACCGCAUACGACCUGAGGGUGAAAGCGGGGGAUCGCAAGACCUCGCGCAAUUGGAGCGGCCGAUAUCAGAUUAGGUAGUUGGUGGGGUAAAGGCCUACCAAGCCUACGAUCUGUAGCUGGUCUGAGAGGACGACCAGCCACACUGGGACUGAGACACGGCCCAGACUCCUACGGGAGGCAGCAGUGGGAAUUUUGGACAAUGGGGGAAACCCUGAUCCAGCCAUGCCGCGUGCGGGAAGGAGGCCUUCGGGUUGUAAACCGCUUUUGUCAGGGAAGAAAUCCUUUGAACUAAUACUUCGGAGGGAUGACGGUACCUGAAGAAUAAGCACCGGCUAACUACGUGCCAGCCGCCGCCGUAA
rnacentral:rRNA from 1 species